GACGAACGCUGGCGGCGUGCUUAACACAUGCAAGUCGAACGGCAAGGCCCUGCUUUUGUGGGGUGCUCGAGUGGCGAACGGGUGAGUAACACGUGAGUAACCUGCCCUUGACUUUGGGAUAACUUCAGGAAACUGGGGCUAAUACCGGAUAGGAGCUCCUGCUGCAUGGUGGGGGUUGGAAAGUUUCGGCGGUUGGGGAUGGGCUCGCGGCUUAUCAGCUUGUUGGUGGGGUAGUGGCUUACCAAGGCUUUGACGGGUAGCCGGCCUGAGAGGGUGACCGGCCACAUUGGGACUGAGAUACGGCCCAGACUCCUACGGGAGGCAGCAGUGGGGAAUAUUGCACAGUGGGCGGAAGCCGGAUGCAGCAACGCCGCGGGCGGGAUGACGGCCUUCGGGUUGUAAACCGCUUUCGCCUGUGACGAAGCGUGAGUGACGGUAAUGGGUAAAGAAGCACCGGCUAACUACGUG
rnacentral:rRNA from 1 species